GUGACUUGACCCUUGAUUAGAAAUCGUCUGCUCUAAAGACUUAAUCGUAACAGACGUCGUAUGUUGUUUUGACGGCUGAUGGUCAAGGAUUGUUGGUAAACAAGAAAGAUUUCAUGGAUUGAUGUGGUUAAUUCUGAAUAAUUUAUUGAACAAAAUAUACAACAAAUCGUAGCCUACUGAAGUUUACGUACAUGCCUAUCCGUCUGCUUCCUCCAUAAGAUUGACAGCACUUUUUUUUAUAUUGAAACAUAUUUCUUUGAAAGCAACUUUAUUUUCUAGGAUAUUAAGACUAGCUUUAUUAUUCAGAAAUCUGGAAUGAAACAACCUAUUCUGGUUUUCUUUUUUGGUUUUUAGUUUGUUUCGUAUAAAGAAAUUUUAGGAGAAUUCUACAAAAUGCAUACGACCUAUUUAAUCUAAUAUAAACAGUAUUGUUAUUGAAAAUUUGUUUAUAGGAUUUAUAUGUCACGGUGUUUGAUGUUGUCAAAAACUGUCUACUUUGUAGAAAUUACAUGAGCAACACAGAAUGGAAAAAUAGUUUGUUAUGACCUUAAAAUGGUAAACACGACUGAAAUGCCACAAGAAUGGAAACAUACAUGAAGGACAUCUCGCGAGCAGAUAUUUCUAUUGCAGGGUCACAUAGGUUAAAACAAAAUGUUACCAACAAAAUAUAUCAUUUUAUAAUUGAAAUCAUACUCAUUAACAUUUUACUUUUAUUGUUUUUAAGAAGUACACACAGAAUCCGCUGUCCUGCAUCACCGUAUAGUCUAUUCCUGUAGCAAUGGUAAAUAAGCAUUACGAGCUUCUGGUAAUCCUCGUAACCACUGCUUUAGGAAUGUGCGUCUAGUCGUCAACAAAAAUUAAACUUAGUAAUAGACAGUUUAUGGAUAACAUUCACAAGGUUUAUUAACUGCAGCGUUUCGGUGAGGGUACUCUCACCGUGUCGAUGAGGGUCCUCUCACCGUUUGAAGGUACACUCACCGUUAUCAAGCUUGAUAAUGGGGAAAGUAUGCUCUAUCCUCAUUGAAACAUUGCAGUUAAUAAACCUAGUGAGUGUUAUCCAUAAAGCUGUCUGUUAUUAUAUAUCGCAAAUUCGCAUUCACUAAAUGCCCCUGAAAGAUAAAAGGAUUAAAGUUGUGCUAAAUAAAAGCAUACAGAUAUUAUCUCCACAGUAAAACCAUUCAGGCCAUUUUUGUAAAUUAAAGCAGUGUGAAAUAUGUAGGCGUAAUUGCUUUGCCUGGCAUAUUGCAAAUGGGUUAGAUUAAAGAUCCAAUAUAUGGUGGGGAAUAUUAAAUAACAGUUAGUUACUAAUUUAAGAACAAUGUUAGUUGGGGGUAAACGCUAAAUUAUAUGAAACAUACAAAUUAUGUUUGUUUUGCUAGGACAGCGGAGUCGUGCCUGCUCUUUCAGCUAAUCGGUUUUCUUUGUCACUUCCAUAGACGCUGUUCCAAGUCAUCUAGGGACGUCUUUGUCGUAUUUGAACCGGGAAAAAUAUCAAAUCCCGUAAAUUAUCACGCAUUUUUUUUAGUGAAUUUAUGUAUCUUUUCAUUGUGUAAAUUAUAAAUUUUGCUAAUCGGUUAUUUGUUGCCUGUCCAGUCUUGCUUGUGAAUUGAACCAGAUUGACCUCUAUUUUUGAAUAAAUGAAAGAAUUUAAUCGAUGUCAAUUUCACUGAUGAAUUUUUCUUAAUUAGAUUUUUUUUAAAUAUUGAUUAGUUUCUGUAUAGUACCCAUCGUUACUGGUCAGAAGCUUUUAAUUUUAUACAUUAUACAUUCGAAGAAAGCAGGGGACUAUUAAAAUGGGUCUGCCUGUCUGUAUUUAUGUCCGUAACACUUUUUGGGACACAAUAACUUUCCUUCUAAUUGAGCUAGAGUGUUCAAACUUGGUGUAGGUGUUUAUGAGGUGGAUGCCUUGAUGGAGUUCGAAGGUGAACUUUUUCUGCUUAUGGUAAGUAGAGAUAAGCAAUUUUAUUUGUUGAUGCUCUGGGAUGCGAUAACUUUAGUUCUAAUUAAGUUAAGUGAUGAAACAUGAUGUAUAGUUUCAUUAAAUCAGUGGUUCUCAACAUUUUUUAGCCAACGGCACACCUUGGAACACAUGAAGAUAUAGCGGCACACCUGGCUAAAUAUAUAUGAAAAGUAUUUGAAUUUUGCAAAAAAAACAAACAUGGCAACUCAUAGACGGCAUACAGUCUUAGACAAAGACUAGUCAUAGGCACGUAGAAUGACUUAAACUAAAUAAAGAAAAACACAGCUAUAAACUUACUUUAUUGCAGUGUUUCGCAUUUCAUCAGUCAAAUAGCUGGCUUCUUUAGUGAGAAAUUUUCUUAGUGUGCCGUUCAAAAUUUCGCGGCACACUUAGGAAGAUCUCGCGGCACACCCGUGUUCCGGGGCACACUGGUUGAGAACCACUGCAUUACAUCAAUACCUUGACUAAGUUCGAUAAUGAGCAUUUUCCGCUAAGUACCUAUAAGCAAUUUGAUUGGUCAAGACUUUGAAACAUAACAACCCCGUUUUUAUACGCCCACAUUUUCAUGUGGACGUAUAUUGUCGUCGCCCCUGUCCGUCCGGACGUCCGUCCACAAUUGUUUGUGAACAAUCUACAGGUCACAAUUUUUAUCCGAUUUCAAUGAAACUUAAAAUAUAGGUUUAUCACCCUAAGAUCUCGGUUCCUUUCGAUAUUGGCAUGUAUCGGACUGUAACUUCAUGGAUUAUGGCCCCUGAUUGUACGAAAAAUCACGUUUUUAGCUAGAGGUCACAAUUUUUAUCCGAUUUAUUUUAAACUUGAAAUGUAUGAUUAUAACCCAAAGAUCUCGGUUCCUUUCGAUAUUCGCGCAUAUCUGAACAUAACUUCCUGAAUUAUGGCCCCUGGUUGUACGAAAAAUCGCGUUUUUAGCUUGUGGACCCUAUAGAGGUCAUAAUUUUUAUCCGAUUUAAAAAAACAUAUUAUUAUAUCACCGUUAAACCCUAAGGACGGUUGAGUUCGAAUUUCGUGAAAAUCGGCCCAAAACUGACAGACAAAAUGGCCGCCGUUCGUUCUCAAAUAGCGUAAAAAUAUGGUAUAUCAAGGUUGUGGGCCCUAUAGAGGUCACAAUUUUUAUCCGAUUUUGUUGAAACUUGAAAUGUAUGUUUAUAUCCCAAAGAUCUCGGGUCCUUUCGAUAUUCGCGCAUAUCGGACCGUAACUUCCUGAAUUAUGGCCCCUGAUUGUACGAAAAAUUGCGUUUUUAGCUUGUGGACCCUAUUGAGGUCAUAAUUUUUAUCCGAUUUAAAAAAACGUAUUAUUAUAUCACCGUUACACCCUAAGGGCGACUGAGUUCGAAUUUCGUGAAAAUCGGCCCAAAACUGACAGACAAAAUGGCCGCCCCUCGUUCUCAAAUAGCGUAAAAAUAUGAUAUAUCAAGGUUGUGGACCCUAUAGAGGUCACAAUUUUUAUCCGAUUUUGUUGAAACUUGAAAUGUAUGUUUAUAUCCCAAAGAUCUCGGGUCCUUUCGAUAUUAGGGCAUAUCGGACCGUAACUUCCUGAAUUAUGGCCCCUGAUUGUACGAAAAGUUGCGUUUUUAGCUUGUGGACCCUAUAGAGGUCAUAAUUUUUAUCCGAUUUAAAAAAACGUAUUAUUAUAUCACCGUUACACCCUAAGGACGACUGAGUUCGAAUUUCGUGAAAAUCGGCCCAAAACUGACAGACAAAAUGGCCGUCCCUCGUUCUCAAAUAGGGUAAAAAUAUGGUAUAUCAAGGUUGUGGACCCUAUAGAGGUCAUAAUUUUUAUCCGAUGUUUUUGAAACUUGAAAUGUAAGUUUAUAACCCAAAGAUCAUGGUUCCUCUCGAUAUUCCCGCAUAUCGGACCGUAACUUCCUGAAUUAUGGCCCCCGAUUGUACGAAAAAUCGUGUUUUUAGCUUGUGGACCCUAUAGAGGUCAUAAUUUUUAUCCGAUUUAAAAAAACGUAUUAUUAUAACACCGUUACACCCUAAGGACGGUUAAGUUCGAAUUUCGUGAGAAUCGGCCCAAAACUGACAGACAAAAUGGCCGCCCUUCGUUCUCAAAUAGCGUAAAAAUAUGGUAUAUCAAGGUUUUGCAUUUUUAAAUUUACUAAACAUGUUUAAUUUUGUGCAUCUUAUUCAUAAACAAUAUAUCCAUCCCAACUAGAAGUGCACGCUAAAGUUCCCUACACAAACGAAUUUCUAAACGAGUAUGCGUUACGCCGCUGCCCUUGCGAAAUAUUUAGCAACAUAUAUAUUAAUUUCAUCCAGUUCAAUCCAACCGGGAGUCCACGUUACAGAUCCGCAGUCAAUAUGCGACAUAUUUCAAUCGAGAUUGUCUUCACAGAAUUUUAAUUAGAAUUGUCAAAAUAUAACUGUUGUUUACUAACGACAGCUGUGUCUAGAUUUUGAUUCUUUACUCGACGCACGUGAUCAAUAGGUAGUUCGGCGGUUUUUAAAAAAUCUGACUGAAAUACAAAUGAGACAGGAGCAAAAAAAAAAAAAAAAAAAAAAAAAUCAAUUACUAAUUUGCAUCAGUAUACAUUUCUAACUCUUGUCUAUUUUUGUGUGCAAUAUUUGUGAAUUUUAUUUUGUAACUUAAAAUAUUUGUGAUUAAAUGUUUCUGUUUUUAUACGCCCACAUUGAAAUGUGGUCGUAUUGUCGUCGCCCCCGUUGGUCCGUCCGUCCGUCCGUCGGUCCGUCGGUCCGGCGUCCACAAUUUAUACACAGUGUUUAAGGUCUUGAGACGAAGAAGCCUAUUGAUUUUCAGCGAUUUCCGAUAAUUACUGCCAGAGUUAUGGCCCUUGAUCACUUUGAAAAAUCUUGUGGACGCUCUAGAGGCCAAAGUUAAUAUCCAAUUGACCUUAAAUUUAUACACAGUGUUUGAGGUCAUGAGACGAAGAAGCCUAUUGAUUUUCAACGAUUUCCGAUAAUUACUGCCAGAGGUAUGGCCCUUGAUCACUUCAAAAAAUCUUGUGGACGCUCUAAAGGCCAAAGUUAAUAUCCGAUUGACUUUAAAUUUAUACACAGUGUUUAAGGUCAUGAGACGAAGAAGCCUGUUGAUUUUCAACGAUUUCCGAUAAUUACUUCCAGAGUUAUGGCCCUUGAUCACUUCAAAAAAUCUUGUGGAUGCUCUAGAGGCUAAAGUUAACAUCCGAUUGAAAUUAAAUUUAUACACAGUGUUUAAGGUCAUAAGAUGAUGAAGCCUAUUGGUUUUCAGCGAUUUCUGAUAAUUACUACCAGAGUUAUGGCCCUUGAUCACUUCAAAAAAUCUUGUGGAUGCUCUAGAAGCGAAAGUUAAUAUUCGAUUGACGUUAAAUUUAUACACAGUGUUUAAGGUCAUGAGACGAAGAAGCCUAUUGAUUUUCAGCGAUUUCCAAUAUUUGCUGCCAGAGUUAUGGCCCUUGAUCACUUUGAAAAAUCUUGUGGACGCUCUAGAGGCCAAAGUUAAUAUCCGAUUGACUUUCAAUUUAUACACAGUGUUUAAGGUCAUGAGACGAAGAAUCCUAUUGAUUUUCAGCGAUUUCCGAUAAUUACUGCCAGAGUUAUGGCCCUUGAUCACUUCAAAAAAUCUUGUGGAUGCUCUAGAGGCUAAAGUUAAUAUCCGAUUGAGUUUAAAUUUAUACACAGUGUUUGAGGUCAUGAGAUGAAGAUUCCUAUUGAUUUUCGAUAAUUACUGCCAAAGUUAUGGCCCUUGAUCACUUUGCAAAAUCUUGUGAUGCUCUAAAGGCUAAAGUUAUAAUCCGAUUGACUUCAGAUUGAUACACAGAGUUAAAGAUCUUGAGACGAACAAGUAUAUUGAUUUUCAAUGAAUUUUUAUGACUUGAACAGUUAAAUCCAUGAUAUUAAAAGCUUUGCAUACAAAAUGUUAACAUGGGACAGAACUUUAUAAAAACCAAACAAAUUCUAAUAGUUUUCUGAUAAUUACUUCGUGAGUUGUUGCUCUUAAUCAGAUUUUAGUGUAUUAUAAAUGUUUCAUUACCGAAAAAAGUAAAAAUAUGCGACAACCCUUGUUGACUGCCCGCACGAUUUAGUUGCUGUGGGCGUGUGUUUCGUUGCCUGGCAACCUAUCUUUAAAUUAGGACGGGGCUUAUACAUGAAAACGUUUAGAUAAUUCAAAUCUAGUUAUAUGACAAUGCUUAAUAAAUCGAUUUUUUAUUCUGGGGCAGCUUACUUAGACGGUCCAUGCAUAUUUUAAAAAUAAAAAAUAUGUAAAAUUGUAAUUAGCUCUGAUGCUAUGGAAACUGAAUAAUGAAUGGCUACAUAUAUUUUUGAAUAAUUUUUAAAACAAAAACUCUAUUACCAUUUACAUAAAACAUAAAUAUGUUAGUUUGUAGUAGGAAAAUACCCCAAAGAUAUGGAUUUUGCAAAUACCGUUGCUAUGGUAAUCAAAUAAUAUGGCAAAUCUUGUAAAUAGCGUUGAAAAUAUAAAUAACACAUUAUGUAUUAAUAAACUGUUAGUUUAAGGUUAUUUAAACAAUAAAUUGUUAAAAUUUGAAUUAUAUAAUGGGUCAUACUUCAAAAUUGGUUUCCAUGGCAACCUAACAUGAACUUAAAGUUGCUCAACGUCUGAAAAUGUUCUCCGUGCUGUCACAGACUAGCUGUACCAUAAAAUGCGAAAUAUAGCCUUUUUUUUGCACAUAUCAGCAGGCUUCCGCGUGAAUUUUUUUUACCAUGGGUAGUAUCUUUAAUUGAAAUAUUCUUGAAUAAGCCCAAAAAUAGAGGUGAUUGUGGUUAUGUAUAUUUCAUAAUAAUUUUUUUUAAGGGUUUUAACUGUAUAGGGAUAUAUUUAUGAUGUAUUGUCGGCGCCGUAUUUAAUUUAGUAUUGAGUUUUGCGGGCAUGCAUUAACGUAUAGUUUGGUCGUGUUAACUUUUAUUUAUUAGUUUUACAAAUCUUUAUUUCAUCGGGUAGCUGAAGAGAGGUGUGGACUGGGCCUCGGACCGUCGGGUGUGGUCCCAAGGCUCAUCGGCUCCGAUUGGAAAUUCUUUUGAGACAUAUUUCAUAUUAUAUUUCAAAAUAAAUAAAAUUCAUCUCCGUAUCCACUGGAAAAAAGUAUAAUGGCUUAAAUCCAAGGAGAAAAAUGAUAUGUGAGUGGGAUACCGGAAGGUGAAUCAAGCUAGUUUCAUUUUCUCGUCAUGUCAUGUAUUCUAAACAGCUAUGGGGGUCCAAGGAAACUAGUUGGUUCGAGGGCCCAGAGCUACCUUGUCAGCCACUGGCUCAAGAUACUUUAAGCAAGCUAAUUUUCUCGUCACGUAUAUUCUACACCAAAAUGGGUCCGAGGGCCCAUCAAAACCGGUUGGUCGGACGGAACAGAGCUACCUUGUCCACCCCUGACAGAAGAUACUUUAAAAAAGGAAUUCUUUGGGGGUUAUUUACAUUGGCUGUUCGGGGAUUUUAUUAUUUCUGUAGCGUAGCUUUAAAUCGGAUUGACAUAGAAAUUAUAUAAGUAAAUCACCUCUUCUUAUUGUAUAUAGAAUAAUUUGUGUGUGUUGUAUACUUAUUCUGUAUUUGUAUAAUGUUAUUUUUGCCAAAGGUAAUAAACAAGUAAAAUAUA